GUCAGAUUGGCCGAGCGGUCUAAGGCGCCAGACUUAAGUUCUGGUUCCCAGAAGGGAGCGUGGGUUCGAACCCCACAUCUGACA
rnacentral:tRNA from 1 species